AAAUUGUGGGUAAUAACUAGACCGGAAAACUUAGAAAUUAAGUGUUUUCAUCAGCUUCUUCCUUCCAUCCUUGCGGGACUAGAGUUAAAUGACAGUUUUUUAUGG